UAACUAGGAUUCCUUAGUAGCUGCGAGCGAACAGGGAGAAGCCCAGCACUGAAUCCUGCGUGCCUCGCGCGCGUCUGGAAAUGUAGUGUUUGGGAGGAUCCGAUCAUCUCGCGAGAGUACGCCAGUCCAAGUCCAUCUUGAAAGCGGCCACAGCCCACAGAGGGUGCCAGGCCCGUAGGACGGCGUUCGACUCGAGCGAAAGGAUCUCUCCCAGAGUUCAAGAGUACGUGAAACCGUUCGGGGGUAAACGGACGAAAUCUGGAAAAUCGAAGCGAGAGAUUCAAGCUCGCCGGGUGGCGUUGCGAGGCGGCCUCCGAUGGCGUGCCGGCGCCCGCGCGUCGCAGCAAUGCGCGCGCGGUGUCGCUCGACGCGUCCACGGCGAACGUCGUCGAGCUCGCCCCCGACGGGCGGCACUUCUCUCGUUGUAGUACGCCGCGACCCGUUGGUCGCUGGUCCACGGCCCGCCGAGGAGCCGGUCGAAAGGCCGCGCGGUCUCGCAAGAGAUCGCGCGCGUCCGUAGGCCGACCGCGCGGUGACCCGGCCAGCUCGGCCGACGGUAGCCAAGCGAUUCGCAAAGAACUUCGAACCGCGGUCGCGUUCGCGCGCGCCCGCGGGACGGAGCGGUCCCCGUCAAACGGGACACGUGUCGCGUCGGCGGCGCUCUAUCCAGAGCAUCGUCCGACCCGUCUUGAAACACGGACCAAGGAGUCUAACAUGUGCGCGAGUCAUUGGGAACGAACUAAACCUAAAGGCGAAACGAAAGUGAAUGCCGGCCACUUCGGUGGUCGCGCAUCGGGGAGAUGCCCGGCGUCCUCGCGGCGCUCGCGGCCGCAUCCCCGGGGUGUCCCGUAGUCAUCGCGACUCAGCGGACGCACCCAGAGCGUACACGUUGGGACCCGAAAGAUGGUGAACUAUGCCUGGUCAGGUCGAAGUCAGGGGAACUGGCGCUCGGACAAAGUCGAGCGACCGGCGUUCGCGCUCGCGCGAUCGCCGGCCGCGGACACCAGUCUCAUCUGGUAAAGCGAAUGAUUAGAGGCCUUGGGGUCGAAACGACCUCAACCUAUUCUCAAACUUUAAAUGGGUGAGACAUUCGGCGUGCUUAAUUGCUCUGUCGUUGACGUCGAACCGCAGGAUGAAAGAGUGCCAAGUGGGCCAAUUUUGGUAAGCAGAACUGGUGCUGUGGGAUGAACCAAACGUCGAGUUAAGGCGCCUAAAUCGAUGCUCAUGGGAUACCAUGAAAGGUGUUAGUUGCUCAAGACAGCAGGACGGUGCGAUGUUGAUGGUUGUCGUACGUAUAAAAUUUGUGAUCGACACUAGCAAAUCUGACACCAUCGGGCGAAAGGGAAUCCGGUUCCUAUUCCGGAACCCGGCCGCGGAACCGAUCAUGCGGGCCACCCCGUCGCAAGGCGGGACUCGUCGGGGUAACCCAACAAGACUCGGAGACGCCGUCGGAUGAUCGAGGCAGAGUUUUCUGUUCUGUUUGAGCGUUCGAGUUCCCUGGAAUCGCCUAGCGCGGAGAUAGGGUUUGGAACGCGAAGAGCACCGCACUUGCGGCGGUGUCUCGAUCUAUCCCUCGGACCUUGAAAAUCCGAGCGAGGGCCACGUGGAGGUGUCGCGCCGGUUCGUACCCAUAUCCGCAGCAGGUCUCCAAGGUGAG
rnacentral:rRNA from 1 species